rnacentral:tRNA from 1 species
GCGCCUCUACCUGAGCAGGAUGGCGGGGGCGACGCUGGCUCGCCAGGAGCGCGUCCUGACCGAGCUCGGCCGGCUCGACGCCGCCCAGGCUCCC